GAGACUGAUGGGAAGAGAGGC
rnacentral:miRNA from 1 species